rnacentral:rRNA from 1 species
UGGGGAAUAUUGGACAAUGGGCGAAAGCCUGAUCCAGCCAUGCCGCGUGUGUGAAGAAGGUCUUCGGAUUGUAAAGCACUUUAAGUUGGGAGGAAGGGUUGUAGAUUAAUACUCUGCAAUUUUGACGUUACCGACAGAAUAAGCACCGGCUAACUCUGUGCCAGCAGCCGCGGUAAUACAGAGGGGGCAAGCGUUAAUCGGAAUUACUGGGCGUAAAGCGCGCGUAGGUGGUUAGUUAAGUUGGAUGUGAAAUCCCCGGGCUCAACCUGGGAACUGCAUUCAAAACUGACUGACUAGAGUAUGGUAGAGGGUGGUGGAAUUUCCUGUGUAGCGGUGAAAUGCGUAGAUAUAGGAAGGAACACCAGUGGCGAAGGCGACCACCUGGACUGAUACUGACACUGAGGUGCGAAAGCGUGGGGAGCAAACA